rnacentral:miRNA from 1 species
CGCAGCGGCUGCCGGAGAUCUGGGGGCGCAGGGGGCGCGGCCAAGGCCGGGCGGGGCCGGGGGCGGAGC